UUUUCCUGCUACAGAUAAAAAAAAAAAAACAAUAUAAAAAUAUAUUUUAGGGAAAAAAAUCAAAACAAUAGAAGAAUAGAUCUGAUGGCAUUGUGCAGGUUAAGGUUGCAAGGGUUUUUGGAAGAGGAGAGAGAGAAAGGCAAGGUGGAGGGUGGGGGGGUGGGUGGGGGUGUAGACCUCUGCCCGAAUGAAUCAAUCACCUUUUUAAAUUUGUCACUGUGUGCCGUGUGGAAACAGUAAGUGUUGUCACUUUCCACUGAAGAUGCUCUCGUUCCUGCAGGAACGUCUGCAGGAGCGUCUUGUCUUUUGAAUUUGAGCAGAAAGCGUGCUUCCCUACCCCUGGCACAGAGCAGGACGGGGAAAUCCCGCAGCAUAUGCUCUACACAGCUAAGAUCACACAGAAAUUCAUGCUUUAUAACAUGAAAACAAUCCCACACUUUCAAACAGACUACAGUCUGUGUGUCUAUAAUUAGAGUGCUACUCUGUGGAGUCUCACUGAUUUGGAGAAAACAGAAACAAGAAAAAAAACAAAACAAAAACAAAAAAACAAAACAAGAAAUAGACACGUUAUUUUUGCUGAUAUGAUUUGCAGAAAAUAUCUUAGAAUUUGUGUGAAUAAUUCACAUAUUUUCGCAGCAAAGAAUUUGAAACUUUCUCCGCACCUGCGAGAUGACACACAUAAUCGAGCUGAGAACUGAAUUUUAGAUCCUAAGAUCAAAACUUUUCAAAACAUUAGAGCCUGCAGGACAGAGCUCUUUCUAUGAUGUCUUUAUUUGAAUAAAAAUAGAGUGAAUUAGAUAAACUCCUCUUGUUCAGAUUGCAAAUGAAAUGAUCUAAGAUGCCUUUCUUUUUAAGGACCAGGGUAAAAAAAAAAUAAAAAAAAACUUUUUAUUUAAACACCUAAAUCUUAAGGUUAAAAACCAAAAAAAAAUGUGCAGGUGGUUUGCGGUGUGUUUCUGGCAGUGAAAUAAUUAGAAAAAAAGAGAAAAAAGUCUAAUGAGGAAACCUCCGUGCCAGAUUUGUGACCUUUGUGCGCUUUAUGAGGAAAUUAGCUUUUAGGAGAUCAUAAAACUUUAUGAACUUCCUCAACACAGGUGGCAUCCACAGGGACCGGCUCAGGCUCCUUGGUCUUGUGAAGGCUCUGUGGCUGUGCUGUCGCUGAAUUUAGAGAAUUUAAAUGUAGACAAAUAAGACUAACGUACGUAAACGACACCGGUGGUGGAUCUGAUGCAGUGCUCAGCAGCACAAGAGCGUAUCUCGUAUGUGGAUGGCACAGAAAUAGAUUAGUGGAUUUAUUUCUGAAAUCACACUCCGCUUCCCUCUCUGAAUUUACAACUCCGACAUUAAAUGUUUUAAAAAACUUUUUUUUUUAACAGAAUGGAAAAAAUAAUUUAAGACGAAACAAUGAAAGUUUUACGUGCACGCCGUUAGCGUGGCUGUGUGAGAUUCAGAAUAAGUGUGUGUGAAAGAGGUGAGAUAUUGGAGAGCAAGUUUUCUGUGCGCUUGAGUUUCACGUGUGCAUGCAGUGUGUGUGUGUGUGUGUGUGUGUGUGUGUGUGUGUGUGUGUGUGUGUGUGUGUGUGUGUGUGUGUGUGUGUGUGUUAGAGAGUGUCAGGAAGCUCUGAGCUGUUGCCAUUCCGGUGAGCAGCCCACACAAAAUGCACCAACACCAGUGUGACAAAACAUUCAAAUAAAUUGCUGUCAGGCUGCCGAAACACCGAGUGCAGCGAUUUUUAUCUGACAUGUGGAAGACCCAGACAUGCAGUCCUGACAAGUAACGCCGGAGCACCUGUGAGAGACGAGCGAUAAAAAUCAGAAUGCGCCUGAUCCUCGGCAUAACAAUACCUAUCAUUACUUGAUAUUAUUUCUUGUCUUUAAGAGAGAGCUCAAGAUGGGGAGAUAGGAAAGAUGCGCUGGCUGCUCUAAAGUGAGACUAUAGCAAAAAAUGAUCUAUGGGUGUGCAUCAAAGUGAAAAUGCUUUUUAAAUUUAAUGUGGACUUGUUUGCGUGAGUGCAUCAUCUGGAGAAAACUUUAAUUUCUGUAAAUUAUUUAAAAUGCAUUCAUGCAUUUUUUUUUUUUUGUAAAUAUAACUGGAAUUUGGAUUUUUACAUGAUCCAAAUAUGUUCUUUGACAUUUGUUUGUGCUGAAAAAAAAACAAAAAACAAAAAAAAAACAUGCUGUUGGGCUUUUGUAUCACUAUGCCUAUCAGCACACAGACACAAACAUGCACCAAGAGUGGAUGUUUGUGUAACUCUGUAAUUCUGAAAUCCAAUUGAGAAAUACUAAAAAUAAAAGAAGUAGAAGAAGAAGAGGGAGAAAAAAGAA